UACAGAGGGUGCGAGCGUUAAUCGGAAUUACUGGGCGUAAAGCGUGCGUAGACGGUUAUUUAAGUCGGGUGUGAAAGCCCCGGGCUCAACCUGGGAAUUGCAUUCGAGACUGAAUAGCUAGGGUACGGUAGAGGGAAGUGGAAUUCCUGGUAUAGCGGUGAAAUGCGCAGAUAUCAGGAGGAACACCGAUGGCGAAGGCAGGUCUCUGGGCCACUACUGACGCUGAGAAGCGAAAGCGUGGGGAGCAAACAGG
rnacentral:rRNA from 1 species